rnacentral:lncRNA from 1 species
CGGAAACGCAAGGAAUCCCAGCAAGGAGGGUGCACCGGAGCACUCAGGGGGCUUUCACGGAGAUAUUAUUGAUAGCGUCAUAUUUCUUGAUGAAAAAAACCAAAAUAGCCAGUGUGUUCACUCCAUUGGUCUUACUGAUAGAAUCCAUCCUCUUUUUUUUCUUCAUUUUUGCAAAUAUACUGGCAUUACCAAGAUAUUUAACGAAGCUGAUGUGGCCCAUUUUUGAUAUUCUCAAUGAUUUUUUUGCAUUUCUAUACCUUGCCUAUGCAGGCUUCUACUCAAUAAUUCACCCACCAGGC